rnacentral:rRNA from 1 species
GAUGAACGCUGGCGGCGUGCCUAAUACAUGCAAGUCGAGCGAACAGAUGAGGAGCUUGCUCCUCUGACGUUAGCGGCGGACGGGUGAGUAACACGUGAUAACCUACCUAUAAGACUGGGAUAACUUCGGGAAACCGGAGCUAAUACCGGAUAAUAUAUUUAACCGCAUGGUUCAAUAGUGAAAGACGGUUUUGCUGUCACUUAUAGAUGGAUCCGCGCCGCAUUAGCUAGUUGGUAAGGUAACGGCUUACCAAGGCAACGAUGCGUAGCCGACCUGAGAGGGUGAUCGGCCACACUGGAACUGAGACACGGUCCAGACUCCUACGGGAGGCAGCAGUAGGGAAUCUUCCGCAAUGGGCGAAAGCCUGACGGAGCAACGCCGCGUGAGUGAUGAAGGUCUUCGGAUCGUAAAACUCUGUUAUUAGGGAAGAACAAAUGUGUAAGUAACUAUGCACGUCUUGACGGUACCUAAUCAGAAAGCCACGGCUAACUACGUG